AUAUUCACUUUUACUACCAACCAAUCUUUACCAUUCAGUGAUAACAAGCACUUUAUUUUACAUUUUAAUAUUUUAUGAUGUAUUUAAAAGAGUAGUUAUUGUUGCAAACUCCAUUAGAAAUUUGAAUUGAUAUCAGUUUUGGAAAAAGGGAAACGGGGGUGUGAAAAAAAGGGGGGGGUUUAAAUUUUUCUCAUUUCAGAUUUCAUAAAUAAAAAGAAAAUUUCUUCAAACAUUUUUUUGAGAGGAUUAAUAUUCAACAGCAUAGUGAAUUGCUCAAAGGCAAAAAAAAACUUUUAAGUUCAUUAGACCACAUUCAUUCUGUGUCAGAAACCUAUGCUGUGUCAACUAUUUAAUUUUAGAUUUAAAAAGUUUGAAGAAGAAAUCUUUAAUUGAUUUGUAAAAUCUUGACAUUUGUUUUGUGUGAAAAAAAACCAUGUAAUGUCAAAAAUUUGAUCACAAUCCAAAUUCAGAGCUGUAUCACGCUUGAAUGUUUUGUCCAUACUUGCCCCAACUGUUCAGGGUUCAACCUCUGCGGUCGUAUAAAGCUGCGCCCUGCGGAGCACCUGGUUCUAAGUUGUGUUU
rnacentral:lncRNA from 1 species